GACGAACGCUGGCGGCGUGCUUACACAUGCAAGUCGAACGGUAAGGCUCCAGCUUGCUGGGGUACACGAGUGGCGAACGGGUGAGUAACACGUGGGUGACCUGCCCUGCACUCCGGGAUAAGCCUGGGAAACUGGGUCUAAUACCGGAUAGGACCGCACCGUGAGGGUGUGGUGGAAAGUUUUUUCGGUGUGGGAUGGGCCCGCGGCCUAUCAGCUUGUUGGUGGGGUAAUGGCCUACCAAGGCGGCGACGGGUAGCCGGCCUGAGAGGGUGGACGGCCACAUUGGGACUGAGACACGGCCCAGACUCCUACGGGAGGCAGCAGUGGGGAAUAUUGCACAAUGGGCGGAAGCCUGAUGCAGCGACGCCGCGUGGGGGAUGACGGCCUUCGGGUUGUAAACUCCUUUCACCAUCGACGAAGGGUUUCUGACGGUAGAUGGAGAAGAAGCACCGGCUAACUACGUGCCAGCAGCCGCGGUAAUACGUAGGGUGCGAGCGUUGUCCGGAAUUACUGGGCGUAAAGAGCUCGUAGGUGGUUUGUCGCGUCGUCUGUGAAAUUCCGGGGCUUAACUCCGGGCGUGCAGGCGAUACGGGCAUAACUUGAGUACUGUAGGGGAGACUGGAAUUCCUGGUGUAGCGGUGAAAUGCGCAGAUAUCAGGAGGAACACCGGUGGCGAAGGCGGGUCUCUGGGCAGUAACUGACGCUGAGGAGCGAAAGCAUGGGGAGCGAACAGGAUUAGAUACCCUGGUAGUCCAUGCCGUAAACGGUGGGCGCUAGGUGUGGGUUUCCUUCCACGGGAUCCGUGCCGUAGCUAACGCAUUAAGCGCCCCGCCUGGGGAGUACGGCCGCAAGGCUAAAACUCAAAGGAAUUGACGGGGGCCCGCACAAGCGGCGGAGCAUGUGGAUUAAUUCGAUGCAACGCGAAGAACCUUACCUGGGCUUGACAUAUACAGGAUCGCGCCAGAGAUGGUGUUUCCCUUGUGGCUUGUAUACAGGUGGUGCAUGGUUGUCGUCAGCUCGUGUCGUGAGAUGUUGGGUUAAGUCCCGCAACGAGCGCAACCCUUGUCUUAUGUUGCCAGCACGUUGUGGUGGGGACUCGUAAGAAACUGCCGGGGUUAACUCGGAGGAAGGUGGGGAUGACGUCAAAUCAUCAUGCCCCUUAUGUCCAGGGCUUCACACAUGCUACAAUGGUCGGUACAGUGGGUUGCCAGUCCGUGAGGGCGAGCUAAUCCCGCAAAGCCGGUCUCAGUUCGGAUCGGGGUCUGCAACUCGACCCCGUGAAGUCGGAGUCGCUAGUAAUCGCAGAUCAGCAACGCUGCGGUGAAUACGUUCCCGGGCC
rnacentral:rRNA from 1 species